rnacentral:tRNA from 1 species
GCAUCGGACGCCGAUCGGCAAGGCAGCCAGUCCGUAAAACUGGGCGUUCACACGCAGCGGAAGUUCGAAUCUUCCCCGAUGCA